AAAUCAUUUGAUGAUCCACCGAUACCCACAAUUUGUCUUCUCUUCCCUUCUCCACGCCGACCACCACCUCCAUUUUUCUCUCUGCGACGAUUCGACCCACCGGCCGAUGCCACCUCCAUUUUCCCCUCCCUCUGCCGACGAUUCGACUCACCGGCCGCAGCUGCGAUCUGCCACCUUUCGCCGCUCCGCUAGAGAUCUGCCCUUCCACCUUCUUCGAUGCCACCUCCAUUUUCCCCUCCCUCCCCCGGCGAUUCGACUCACCGGCCGCAUUCCACCGCGAUUCGCCGCGAUGAGAUCUGCCCCUUCCACAGUUCCACCUUCUGAUCCGACCAGAACCUGCCGCCCCUCACAAUCGCCGGAAGAAACAAGAAGAAUUCGCGUAAGCCCUCUUUUCGUAUCUGCAAAUUUGGGGGUUUCCUAUUUUCCCCAUUUUUUGCUUUUCGUAGAAUUCGCCGCGGUUACUCUCGAUGCUCGAAUGCGCGCCUCCGGCCCGAGCUCCGCCGCUGUGGAUCAGUCCUCCGCCGCGGCGAUCCUCUACUCACCCGGCACCACCGGGUGAGUAAAGGGAGCCCUGCUUACGUACCGGAAUUUGAUCGCAUUGGUGCCAGGGCUGUAUCACAACUGGUGGGACCUUCCACCGCUGCAUUCUGCUUUGCCGGACCACCCACUCUGGCGCCCUCCGCGAUCUGCCGUGAUUCUUGAAUCGACUAAGUCGACGGAGUUGGUCUUCUCUGCCGCGACUAUAGGCCGUCCUUGAGCCCCGAAAAUCGUUCGACGAUGCGCAGUCGUGCCGUCGUCUCGAGUCCAAGCACCCAAAUCGAAUAUUUUUGGCUUCCUUUCAUCUACAAUUGUAAGAAGCAGUGAGGCAUGGUUCGAUCCUGAUGGAUUGAUUAAUUCAGAUGGAGAAGAUGAAUUUUAUAGUGUUCAAGAUGAUGUAUCUCAAACUGGAUCAAAUUAAGAAGAAUUCGAAAGAGAGGUUUAAACAAGAGUGAUUUAUUUGACUGAAUUUAAUGUUCUUGACCUUCUUGAUUGAAUCGAUAAUAUGUGUGUGUGUGUGUGUGUGUGAAUUGGUUUAUUUUUUAUGGUGUGCGUGGUGUACUUAUAGAUUUAAUUAUUUAGUUUUGAGGAGCUGUAUUGGUGCUUAACAUGUUGCUAUACAUAAAAAUUUAGAAGUUUCAUAAGUGCAGCUUCUUCUGUUACCAUGCGAAAUAUGUUACUUAUAUUUGAACAAUAAAUUCAAAUAAUGACCUAGAUAAACUCCCUUACUAGAAACUGUUCUAGAGACAAACAAACAAAUUCUAAAUCCUUCACUACUUUUUAGUAUACUUUGUGAAAUAGUUGAAUUAUAUCCACCAACAAUUCUGCAUUAUUACAAAAAAAAAUUGCAUGAUUCCCACGCAAAGCCACCAUAUAUGCAUCACAAAAUAAUGCAUAACAUCAGAAAUAAUUCACUAAUAAUGUAUAGCAUCAGAAAUAGAAAUCUAUACAAAAUAAUUUAAACUAAAGUAAUAAGUCUGAAAAAAUUAAGACGAGAAAAGUUGUUUGUAAGAUGACUAAUAAAAAAUGGAAAGUCUUAGGGAGCAUUUCUCAUUGUGAUGUUAAAAAGAAAGAAUCAGCAUAAAUAUUUGAUGUUUUGGUAAUGGGUGGUGAGUAUAUUUGACGGGUAGCGGGUUGGUGGAUAUCCGCGGGUUGCGGGUGGCAAAUAGUAGUGUACACGAAGUUGAAAUUUUCUCUAAAAUUUGCUGCAGUUUCGUGGUGAUUUAUUUAUUGGAUGUUUUAUUGCAGGAUGUCGACGCCGAGAAACAGCAACGCCCCUACCUCUCAAGCCUGGCGGGUCUCCGACGGAUAGUGGGUGGCGAGUAUCCGACGGGUAGCGGGUGACGGGUAUCCACGGAUUGCGGAUAUGGGUGGCAAAUAGUAGUGGGUGGCAAAUAAUUUUUUCGAAUAUACGAAUAUACGUUUUGCUAAGUCAUGUAAAGGAUGAAAGUCCUCUUUAAUUUUUUUUUAUAUUUUAGUUUGAUAUUUAACGAAUACCUAUGUCAUGUUAAUACUUAUUUUAUUGAAUAAUAUUCAUUAUUUAUAAAUAUAUUAUGAAAA